rnacentral:rRNA from 1 species
GAUGAACGCUGGCGGCGUGCCUAAUACAUGCAAGUCGAGCGAACGGACGAGAAGCUUGCUUCUCUGAUGUUAGCGGCGGACGGGUGAGUAACACGUGGAUAACCUACCUAUAAGACUGGGAUAACUUCGGGAAACCGGAGCUAAUACCGGAUAAUAUUUUGAACCGCAUGGUUCAAAAGUGAAAGACGGUCUUGCUGUCACUUAUAGAUGGAUCCGCGCUGCAUUAGCUAGUUGGUAAGGUAACGGCUUACCAAGGCAACGAUGCAUAGCCGACCUGAGAGGGUGAUCGGCCACACUGGAACUGAGACACGGUCCAGACUCCUACGGGAGGCAGCAGUAGGGAAUCUUCCGCAAUGGGCGAAAGCCUGACGGAGCAACGCCGCGUGAGUGAUGAAGGUCUUCGGAUCGUAAAACUCUGUUAUUAGGGAAGAACAUAUGUGUAAGUAACUGUGCACAUCUUGACGGUACCUAAUCAGAAAGCCACGGCUAACUACGUGCCAGCAGCCGCGGUAAUACGUAGGUGGCAAGCGUUAUCCGGAAUUAUUGGGCGUAAAGCGCGCGUAGGCGGUUUUUUAAGUCUGAUGUGAAAGCCCACGGCUCAACCGUGGAGGGUCAUUGGAAACUGGAAAACUUGAGUGCAGAAGAGGAAAGUGGAAUUCCAUGUGUAGCGGUGAAAUGCGCAGAGAUAUGGAGGAACACCAGCGGCGAAGGCGACUUUCUGGUCUGUAACUGACGCUGAUGUGCGAAAGCGUGGGGAUCAAACAGGAUUAGAUACCCUGGUAGUCCACGCCGUAAACGAUGAGUGCUAAGUGUUAGGGGGUUUCCGCCCCUUAGUGCUGCAGCUAACGCAUUAAGCACUCCGCCUGGGGAGUACGACCGCAAGGUUGAAACUCAAAGGAAUUGACGGGGACCCGCACAAGCGGUGGAGCAUGUGGUUUAAUUCGAAGCAACGCGAAGAACCUUACCAAAUCUUGACAUCCUUUGACAACUCUAGAGAUAGAGCCUUCCCCUUCGGGGGACAAAGUGACAGGUGGUGCAUGGUUGUCGUCAGCUCGUGUCGUGAGAUGUUGGGUUAAGUCCCGCAACGAGCGCAGCCCUUAAGCUUAGUUGCCAUCAUUAAGUUGGGCACUCUAAGUUGACUGCCGGUGACAAACCGGAGGAAGGUGGGGACGACGUCAAAUCAUCAUGCCCCUUAUGAUUUGGGCUACACACGUGCUACAAUGGACAAUACAAAGGGCAGCGAAACCGCGAGGUCAAGCAAAUCCCAUAAAGUUGUUCUCAGUUCGGAUUGUAGUCUGCAACUCGACUACAUGAAGCUGGAAUCGCUAGUAAUCGUAGAUCAGCAUGCUACGGUGAAUACGUUCCCGGGUCU